GUCCACGCCCUAAACGAUGUCAACUAGGUGUUGGGUGGGUAAACCAUUUAGUACCGUAGCUAACGCGUGAAGUUGACCGCCUGGGGAGUACGGCCGCAAGGUUAAACUCAAAGGAAUUGACGGGGACCCGCACAAGCGGUGGAUGAUGUGGAUUAAUUCGAUGCAACGCGAAAACCUUACCUACCCUUGACAUGUCAGGAAUCCCGCUGAGAGGUGGGAGUGCCCGAAAGGGAGCCUGAACACAGGUGCUGCAUGGCUGUCGU
rnacentral:rRNA from 1 species